rnacentral:rRNA from 1 species
GUGAGGAAUUUUCCGCAAUGGGCGAAAGCCUGACGGAGCAAUGCCGCGUGAAGGAUGAAGGCCUAUGGGUUGUAAACUUCUUUUCUCAGAAAAGAAUUAUGACGGUAUCUGAGGAAUAAGCAUCGGCUAACUCUGUGCCAGCAGCCGCGGUAAGACAGAGGAUGCAAGCGUUAUCCGGAAUGAUUGGGCGUAAAGCGUCUGUAGGUUGUUUAAAAAGUAUUCUGUCAAAGAUUAGGGCUUAACCCUAGAUAGGCAGAAUAAACUUUUAAGCUAGAGUUUGGUAGAGGCAGAGGGAAUUCCCGGUGGAGCGGUGAAAUGCGUAGAUAUCGGGAGGAACACCAAAGGCGAAGGCACUCUGCUGGGCCAAUACUAACACUGAGAGACGAAAGCGAGGGGAGCAAAUGGGAUUAGAUAUCCGUGUAGUCC